UCCUGGCUCAGGAUGAACGCUGGCGGCGUGCCUAAUACAUGCAAGUGAAACGGGUAUCUUCGGAUACCAGUCGCGGACGGGUGAGUAAUACAUAGGCAACCUGCCUUUAUGAGGGGGAUAACCGAGGGAAACUUUGGCUAAUACCGCAUGAAGACUCUAAGGCAUCCUAGAGGGAUAAAAGUUGGGAAACAACGCAUGAAGAUGGGCUUAUGGCGCAUUAGCUAGUUGGUGAGAUAGAAGCCCACCAAGGUAAUGAUGCGUAGCCGACCUGAGAGGGUGAACGGCCACAUUGGGACUGAGACACGGCCCAAACUCCUACGGGAGGCAGCAGUAGGGAAUUUUCGGCAAUGGGGGGAACCCUGACCGAGCAACGCCCGCGUGAAGGAAGAAGGUUUUCGGAUUGUAAACUUCUGUUAUAAGGGAAGAACGGAUUGGAUAGGGAAUGAUCUGAUAGUGACGGUACCUUAUUAGAAAGCCACGGCUAACUACGUGCCAGCCGCGGC
rnacentral:rRNA from 1 species